rnacentral:rRNA from 1 species
GAUGAACGCUGGCGGCGUGCCUAAUGCAUGCAAGUCGAACGAAGAUCUAGCUUGCUAGAUCUUAGUGGCGAACGGGUGAGUAAUACAUAAAUAAUCUGCCCAUAUGACUGGGAUAACUAUUGGAAACGAUAGCUAAUACCGGAUAGGUUGAUCGGAGGCAUCUCUGAUGAAUUAAAGUAGGAUUUCUACACAAAUGGAUGAGUUUAUGGCGCAUUAGUUAGUUGGUGGGGUAACGGCCUACCAAGACGGUGAUGCGUAGCCGACCUGAGAGGGUGACCGGCCACACUGGGACUGAGACACGGCCCAGACUCCUACGGGAGGCAGCAGUAGGGAAUUUUCGGCAAUGGGCGCAAGCCUGACCGAGCAACGCCGCGUGAGUGAUUAAGGCCUUCGGGUUGUAAAGCUCUGUUGUAAGGGAAGAACAUUCAGGAUAGGAAAUGAUCUUGAACUGACGGUACCUUACCAGAAAGCCACGGCUAACUACGUGCCAGCAGCCGCAGUAACAC